rnacentral:lncRNA from 1 species
GGAGAACUUUUACCUCAUUAAGUUCAUUCACAAACAAAAUUCUGAAAAAUUCCUCCUUCAUAGACCUUGGUUCAUCGGCUCUCAAUAUCUUUCCACCCGUAAAUGGGAACCCAAGUUCAAUCGCUUAACGGAAAGCCCAAACUACACUACUAUUUGGAUACGACUUCCUGAAUUUUUCACUGAAUACUACGAUCUCCAAAUCCUGCAAAAAAUUGACAACACUAUAGGAACUGUCCUAAAAAUAGACAGUUGCACAAGAAAUGCUUCAAAAGGACGAUACGCUAGAUUAUGCAUUUUAACACCUCUUAAUAAACCUCUCCCUCCAAAUGUUCUUAUUGGGUCUUACCUCCAAAAGAUUCUUUUUGAAAGUACCACUCCUUUAUGC